CGCGUAGGCGGUAAUGUAAGUCAGACGUGAAAUCCUUCGGCUUAACUGAAGAACUGCGUCUGAAACUGCAUGACUAGAGUGCAGAAGAGGGAAACGGAAUUCCUGGUGUAGAGGUGAAAUUCGUAGAUAUCAGGAGGAACACCGGUGGCGAAGGCGGUUUCCUGGUCUGACACUGACGCUGAGGCGCGAAAGCGUGGGGAGCAAACAGGAUUAGAUACCCUGGUAGUCCACGCCGUAAACGGUGGGUACUGGGUGUGGGAGGUGUAAUGCCUUCUGUGCCGAAGCUAACGCGUUAAGUACCCCGCCUGGAGAGUACGGCCGCAAGGUUGAA
rnacentral:rRNA from 1 species